rnacentral:rRNA from 1 species
AACGAACGCUGGCGGCAUGCCUAACACAUGCAAGUCGAACGAGACCUUCGGGUCUAGUGGCGCACGGGUGCGUAACGCGUGGGAACCUGCCCUUAGGUUCGGAAUAACUCCCCGAAAGGGGUGCUAAUACCGGAUAAUGUCUUCGGACCAAAGAUUUAUCGCCUUUGGAUGGGCCCGCGUUGGAUUAGCUAGUUGGUAGGGUAAAAGCCUACCAAGGCGACGAUCCAUAGCUGGUCUGAGAGGAUGAUCAGCCACACUGGGACUGAGACACGGCCCAGACUCCUACGGGAGGGAGCAGAGGGGAAUAUUGGACAAUGGGCGAAGGCCUGAUCCAGCAAUGCCGCGUGAGUGAUGAAGGCCUUAGGGUUGUAAAGCUCUUUUACCCGGGAUGAUAAUGACAGUACCGGGAGAAUAAGCGCCGGCUAACUCCGUG